CCUACGGGAGGCAGCAGUAGGGAAUCUUCCACAAUGGGCGAAAGCCUGAUGGAGCAACGCCGCGUGGGUGAAGAAGGCCUUCGGAUCGUAAAACCCUGUUGUUAGAGAAGAAAGUGCGUGAGAGUAACUGUUCACGUUUCGACGGUAUCUAACCAGAAAGCCACGGCUAACUACGUGCCAGCAGCCGCGGUAAUACGUAGGUGGCAAGCGUUAUCCGGAUUUAUUGGGAGUAAAGGGAACGCAGGUGGUCUGUUAAGUCUGAUGUGAAAGCCUUCGGCUUAACCGGAGUAGUGCAUUGGAUACUGGGAGACUGGAGUGCAGAUGAGGAGAGUGGAACUCGAGGUGUAGCGGUGAAAUGCGUAGAUAUAUGGAAGAACACCAGUGGCGAAAGCGGCUCUCUGGUCUGUAACUGACGCUGAGGUUCGAAAGCGUGGGUAGCAAACAGGAUUAGAUACCCGGGUAGUC
rnacentral:rRNA from 1 species